GGGCGUGUAGCCUAGCCAGGACAAGGCGGCAGCCUCCUAAGCUGUAGAUCAAGGGUUCGAAUCCCUUCACGCCCG
rnacentral:tRNA from 1 species